rnacentral:rRNA from 1 species
GUGCCAGCCGCCGCGGUAAUACGUAGGUGGCGAGCGUUAUCCGGAUUUACUGGGCGUAAAGUGAGCGCAGACGGUUCUUCAAGUCAGAUGUUAAAUCUCUCAGCCUAACUGGGUGGUCGCAUUUGAUACUGUUGAACUAGAGGACAAUAGGGGGAGGUAGAAUUCCCGGUGUAGUGGUGGAAUGCGUAGAUAUCGGGAGGAAUACCAGUGGCGAAGGCGGCCUCCUGGGUUGUUUCUGACGUUCAUGCUCGAAGGUGUGGGGAGCAAACAGGAUUAGAAACCCCCGUAGUCC